rnacentral:rRNA from 1 species
AACCUCCGCAAUGUGAGAAAUCGCGACGGGGGGAUCCCAAGUGCCAUUCUUAACGGGAUGGCUUUUCAUUAGUGUAAAGAGCUUUUGGAAUAAGGGCUGGGCAAGACCGGUGCCAGCCGCCGCGGUAACACCGGCAGCUCUAGUGGUAGCAGUUUUUAUUGGGCCUAAAGCGUCCGUAGCCGGUUUAAUAAGUCUCUGGUGAAAUCCUGUAGCUUAACUGUGGGAAUUGCUGGAGAUACUAUUAGACUUGAGACCGGGAGAGGUUAGAGGUACUCCCAGGGUAGAGGUGAAAUUCUGUAAUCCUGGGAGGACCGCCUGUUGCGAAGGCGUCUAACUGGAACGGUUCUGACGGUGAGGGACGAAAGUUAGGGGCGCGAACCGGAUUAGAUACCCGGGUAGUCCUAACUGUAAACGAUGCGGACUUGGUGUUGGGGUGGCUUUGAGCUGCUCCAGUGCCGAAGGGAAGCUGUUAAGUCCGCCACCUGGGAAGUACGGUCGCAAGACUGAAACUUAAAGGAAUU